CUUCCCUCAUUAAUCUUCGGCCUGCUUUGCAUCUGCGUCCAAGAAGCCGAGGUGUUACUUUUCGAGUCUGUUUUACGUCUCACCAUGGUAGCCAGGAUUAUUUAGAACAACAGUAGCUGUAUUCAAAGAAAACUAUCGCUGGGCUACAACAAUUCAGGGCUGUAAAGCUUUUAUACGUGUCAGCAGGAGCAGGAACAAUCGCUGGCCAACAUCCUUGGGGAAAACACUGACAAGAUGCAGCUUACCAGGAAGAUACUGGAUUUGAAACAGGAUGAGCAGCUAUAUCAUAAUCUUCAUGAGGAGAUCAAUCAUAUGACCCUCAGACUGGAAAAACAGGGGAAGACUGAAGGAAAGACCAUCUCAACCCGCAGGAAACACAUCAACAAAAUGUGGCUGAAGGCUCAGUCGCACUUAAAGGAAUAUCACGAGAAUCUUCAGCUUGCCCUCGAAGUCUCGUCCUUCUACCAGCAGGCCGAUAACAUUGUCUGUUCCAUCAGCAACAUGAGAAAAGGCCUCUCAGCAAGCAACGGAGUGGAAAACGCCAGAGACGGGGAAAUUCGGGACAUUGCCAGUCAAAUCAUGGUGCGCGAUCCAAAAUUCACAUCCCAUUAUAGUCACACGAGGAGCCGUGCUGUGAAACAC
rnacentral:lncRNA from 1 species